GCCUCCCGGGGCCACCCCGCUGCCUCCCCAGCCUUGCCGCGCCUCAGCGACUUUCGGCGCCGCCGGAGCUUCCGCCGCAUCGCGGGCGCCGAGAUCCAGAUGGUCAUCUUACUCAUUGCCACCUCCCUGGUGGUGCUCAUCUGCUCCAUCCCGCUCGUGAUAUGCUUUUGUUUACUGUAGGCAAACUGGAAGUGGAGUCAUAAAACAACUGAUGGGAUGUCAGAUGAGUGUGAAGCACAUCUAUACAUACAAGAGAAAUGCCACAAAUUUGGGUGCGAGUAUUCGUCAACCAGUUAUAUCAGCCAAGUUUGGAGCGAGAAGUCAGUAAAAAUCCAGAUUUGCAGGCCAUCCGAAUUGCUUCUGUGAACCCCAUCCUAGACCCCUGGAUAUAUAUCCUCCUGAGAAAGACAGUGCUCAGUAAAGCAAUAGAGAAGAUCAAAUGCCUCUUCUGCCGUAUUGGCGGGUCCCGCAGGGAGCGCUCCGGACAGCACUGCUCAGACAGUCAAAGGACAUCUUCUGCCAUGUCAGGCCACUCUC
rnacentral:sRNA from 1 species